rnacentral:rRNA from 1 species
UAAGGAAUAUUGGUCAAUGGACGCAAGUCUGAACCAGCCAUGCCGCGUGAAGGAUGAAGGUCCUCUGGAUUGUAAACUUCUUUUAUCUGGGACGAAAACGGGAUUUUUAUCUCAAUUGACGGUACCAGAGGAAUAAGCACCGGCUAACUCCGUGCCAGCAGCCGCGGUAAUACGGAGGGUGCGAGCGUUAUCCGGAUUUACUGGGUUUAAAGGGUGCGUAGGUGGGCUUAUAAGUCAGUGGUGAAAUCUCCGAGCUUAACUUGGAAACUGCCGUUGAUACUAUAGGUCUUGAAUUAUCUGGAGGUAAGCGGAAUAUGUCAUGUAGCGGUGAAAUGCUUAGAUAUGACAUAGAACACCAAUUGCGAAGGCAGCUUACUACAUAUAAAUUGACGCUGAGGCACGAAAGCGUGGGGAUCAAACA